CCUUCGAUAGCUCAGUUGGUAGAGCGGUGGACUGUAGUUAACGGGAUGCAUAAAAACAUCAAAAAUUCGGUUCGCGUUCAUUGCCCUCAAAAGCUUUGAAUACAAACACUCUGUGCUGACAUCCAUAGGUCGCUGGUUCAAAUCCGGCUCGAAGGA
rnacentral:tRNA from 1 species